AGGGACAACCUCGGGAAACCGUGGGUAAUACCGGAUACUCCGGGACGGCCGCAUGGCCGGCCCGGGAAAGCCCAGACGGGAGGGGAUGGGCCCGCGGCCUGUUAGCUAGUCGGCGGGGUAACGGCCCACCGAGGCGAUUAUGGGUAGCCGGGUUGAGAGACCGACCGGCCAGAUUGGGACUGAGACACGGCCCAGACUCCUACGGGAGGCAGCAGUGGGGAAUCUUGCGCAAUGGGCGGAAGCCUGACGCAGCGACGCCGCGUGCGGGACGAAGGCCUUCGGGUCGUAAACCGCUUUCAGCAGGGACGAGGCCCUCACGGUGACGGUACCUGCAGAAGAAGCCCCGGCUAACUACGUGCCAGCAGCCGCGGUAAUACGUAGGGGGCGAGCGUUAUCCGGAUUCAUUGGGCGUAAAGCGCGCGUAGGCGGCCUGUUAGGUCGGGGGUCAAAUACCGGGGCUCAACCCCGGUCCGCCCCCGAUACCGGCAGGCUUGAGUCUGGUAGGGGAAGGCGGAAUUCCCAGUGUAGCGGUGGAAUGCGCAGAUAUUGGGAAGAACACCGGCGGCGAAGGCGGCCUUCUGGGCCACGACUGACGCUGAGGCGCGAAAGCUAGGGGAGCGAACAGGAUUAGAUACCCUGGUAGUCCUAGCCGUAAACG
rnacentral:rRNA from 1 species